rnacentral:lncRNA from 1 species
GACAGUAUGUGAAUUACACAUCAUGUUUUUAUAUAUUAGUCAAGUUUUUCUCAUUUCUAUUUUUUGGCAAUUUUGUGUUUAAUAAAUUAUAUUCAUAUGAAUUAUAUUAACCCCUUGCUGCAUCUUGUGUCAUAUAUGAUACAUAUUAAAAUUAAUAUAUUUUCAAGAUCCUAGAAACUAAAAAUUAAAUAAAUGCAUGAUGUAGCAUAUUUGGGACCGAGGAAUAAACACGUGAAAACAAUUCCGACAUCGCGGCAACAAAGUACGCUUUUUUGGCGCGCUUUGCCAGUUGAGAAUCACAUAUUUGUCGGUGUAGUCGAUGUUUAUGUUUUUAAAGUGUCAUUUUUGUUUAGUAAAAAGUUAGUUUAGUGAUUAAAAAAAUAGACGUUUACAGUUUAUUUGUUGCACUUUCAUUUGAAGAUGGAUCCGAAAAUAUUUUACGGAAUUAACAGCGAAUAUGUUAGGGAUGUACCGGAGGAUAAUAAGAGUGAUGUUCCCGAUUUGUCAGAUGAUGAAGACAAUAAUAUCCCAAUAAACCAUCAUAAUAUAUUAGCCUACGAAAGUGAUGACUCGAUGCCUGAAGGAGAUUAUGACGAGACAACCAUUCCUGAAACGUAUGUGGAGUCUGAUGAUAGUGGAAAUAUGACUCUCCAGGAAAUUGCGGAGAAGGUAAAUCCAGGAUCCUGGAGAACCGGAAAUCUCAGGAAAGAUCCAAAGGAGCUUGAAUUUACGGGCAACCUGAAUAUGCCCCCAGAGGUUGCUGAUUUAGAGACACCAUCAGAGUUUUUUAAGUUCUUCUUGACUAAUGAAAUUAUAUCGACGAUAACUACCGAAUCAAAUUAAUACUGCUUUCAAAAACAUAUAAACCGUCCCGCAAACCUUACAGAUGAUGAAAUAGAACAAUUCAUUGGCAUGUGUUUAUAUAUGUCCAUCAUACAAUUGCCUCAAGCUAGGAACUAUUGGUCACCACAUUUAGGCCACCCCGCCAUAUCUAGGGUCAUGACAUGUAACAGGUGGGAAGAAAUCAAACGAUUUAUACAUUUUAAUAGUAAUGAUAAUUUUAUACCUCGUGGCAAGCCCGGUCAUGAUAAGUUAUUUAAGAUAAGACCUUUACAAGAAAGACUAAAUAUAAUUCCUGUUGAAGAACAUAUUGCGGUCGAUGAACAAAUUAUUCCCACUAAGGCCAUAUCGACAAUCAAACAAUAUAAUCCAAAAAAGCCACACAAGUGGGGCUUUAAAGUAUUUGUGCUGAGUGGAAUCUCCGGCUUUAGUUACAGUUUCGACAUUUUUGCUGGUUCUCAGAGCAACAUCGUUCCUGCCGAUGCUCCUGAUUUGAGAACUAGUAGUAAUGUGGUGGUAAAACUUGUUGAAAGUGUCCCCAAACACGUAAAUCAUAAGAUUUUUUUUGAUAAUUGGUUUUCUAGCGUUCCGCUUAUGGUUUACUUGACCAAGAAUGGUAUCCAUCCUCUUGGAACUGUGCGCUUGAAUCGAGUUCAAGGAUGUAAAAUGCUGUCAGAAAAAGAGUUUAAAAAACUUGGACGAGGAUCUUGACAAGAGAAAACUGCUAUUAAAGACGAUGUAAAGUUAAGUACCAUUUGCUGGUAUGACAAUAAAAUUUUCUCAACUUUAUCAUCCUACGUCGGUUCACAGCCAACGGGAACUAAGCAAAGAUUUUUUAGAAGCGAGAAAUGCUACAAGAAUGUGGAGUGCCCGCAAACAAUUUUGAAAUAUAAUGAAUACAUGGGAGGUGUAGACUUAUUAGACUCUAUGCUCGGUUACUAUCGCAUUAAAAUUAGAUCCAAGAAAUGGUAUCUUCGCAUUUUCUUUCAUUUUAUGGACAUGUGCAUUGUAAAUAGUUAGCUUUUAUGGAGAAGGCAAAAUGAUAUAUAUAUGCCACUUGCAGAUUUUAAGGUGGCUAUUGCAGAUGCCUUAUGCAACAGUGGGAAAUCUGUAUUAACCAGAAAACGUGGACGACCUAGCGCCAAUCUUGAAAAUGCUUAUUUGCAAAAGAAGAAAUGUGGCCCUACGACUGAAAUACCCCAAACUGAAGUUUGAAAAGACAGAAUCGAUCAUUUGCCAGAAUGGAGAGAGAAUGACAGAAAUAGACGCAAGCAUCCAGAGUGCAAAUACCAGACGUACAUUUAUUGUGUUAAGUGCCAAAUACCCCUAUGCUUAAAUAAAGACAGAAAUUGUUGCAUUCGAUUCCAUACUGAAUAACUGAAUAUGUUUGUAAAACUUAUUCAGUAUGGAUUAAAAAAUAGUUAGUGUAUAGCGCUUAUAUAUGGUACGUACACUUUUUUAUUAAAAAUUUUCAUAAAAACACAA